rnacentral:rRNA from 1 species
UGCCAGCCGCCGCGGUAAUACGGGGGGUGCAAGCGUUAAUCGGAAUUACUGGGUUUAAAGGGUCCGCAGGCGGUCUAUUAAGUCAGAGGUGAAAUCUUGCAGCUCAACUGUAAAAUUGCCUUUGAUACUGGUAGACUUGAGACAUUGUGAAGUGGUUAGAAUGUGUGGUGUAGCGGUGAAAUGCAUAGAUAUCACACAGAAUACCAAUUGCGAAGGCAGAUCACUAACAAUGUACUGACGCUCAUGGACAAAAGCGUGGGGAGCGAACAGGAUUAGAUA